UUUUUUUUCAAAAAAACUUUUUUUUUGUAAUUAAAAAAAAAAAAAAAAAAAAAAAAAAAAAAAAAAAAAAAAAAAAAAAAAAAAAAAAGAA